UCGAACUCCUGACCUUAGGUGAUCAGCCCGCCUUGGCUUCCCAAAGUGCUGGGAUUACAGGUGUGAGCCACUGCGCCUGGCCAAACUUAAACAAUUUUUAAUAACGAUCUCAAAAUUACUAUGCAUGGUGGAAAAUGGAAGUAUUUGAUUAUCACUGACAAUGAUAAAAGUUUCACAUUUUUAGAUGGUAAAUCACAUAUGUAUAUUUUACUUCUAACCCAAAAUUUUUUAAGUUUAAUAUUUUUAUGGAUUUUUCAAUUUUCAUAGACAUUUUAUUUUUAAUAACCCUGUGUCUGUGACAAAGCAUCACAGCUUUGGUGUGGGUUAACUCCUGGUGACGUCCACACAUUUGGGCAAGUUCUAAAACGUCGGUGCCUUCACCUCCAUGGAGAGUCAGGUACCAUUAGGCACAGGUGGGGUUUGAUGUAGGGUGGGUUCCCAGCAGCCGACGGCUUCCUUCACAUUAGCUUCCAUGGCAGGUGUUUUUGGACCUGAUUCUUUGGUGUGUAGAUGCGUGAUCCAAACAGUAGAUGUAAUUGUCACUCAGCAAGUAUCGAGCCCCUCCUCCUUCUGCUGCAUGGGAUACAUUUUCCCUCUUGGGAAAUCUGGGUCUGGUCAUGCAUCUGCUAGUCGAGUGCUAGAGGGCGUGGUGUGAGCCGUAGCCCCGUAGAUCCUGGAUCUGGACACACGCGCCAUGAUCUGGCCUGGACAGCUGCCGCCCUUCAGCCUGGACUUCCCAUCACACCUCACAGUCCAGACUCCAGUUCAGCUUUCAGCUUUGCAACCGAGCUGCCCAGAAAAGCCCAGAGCUGGAGGAGCAGAACUGCAGCCGCCCUGCAGGUUUGUGAGAGUGAGAAUGAACACUCCUCAUAGAAAACUAGCGGGCCUGGGGAUAGUGUUUUCCCCAGCUCCAUCGUAGUAACACUGGACUGAUGGAUUACACGUUGGCCUCGUCAGAACCAUGACGAGAAUGUGGAAGCUGUGCACAAGUAAAAAGUUUACCCAAGAUCCAACAUUUAUUGAAUUUAAAAUAAACGUUAUAUAGGUGGACUUCACUGUGAUCUCCUCAAAUAAUGCAUUUGUUAGAAUAUAUUCACCUGAGACCUCAGAAAGCGCUGGAAGAAAAUAAGAAACUUAAGAGUGGAAACCAUGAAUGUUUUCAAAGCUAGUAGUGGGGGUCUGAGACCUGUCUAUAGUCGCUGAAGAAGCCUGAAUGAGCCGCACACCUGCCCUGCAUGGUGCACACAAGAGGCCAGUUCCAAGGACACCCAGCUGGCCAUGUGACAAAGGGUGGAACCUCAACCAACCUCACACCUCCCUCAAGCUCAUGGUCCUGAUGCUGAAACUUGGGGCAGUUCAAAAAGCCAGUGGCUUUGCCCAAGCCAACUUCUUCACAUCCACAGAACAGGAAGUGCCUCUCCUGGGGGCAGCAGAGCCAGGUGCCUGCACACCCCAUCGUUGGGUCUCUGCAAGUCUUCCAGGCCCCAUAGGGUGAGAGCCUUGGCCUGACUCCCAAACUUGGACUCCAAAUCUUGCCUGCUGUUGGCUGGUCUGUGAAGGACUUCAUUUAAUGUAGGCUCAAGAGUUCCUUACGUAGGUCAUCGCUUUGUGAGAUGUGAGAAAUCAUCACAAUUAGUGACCACAUGCAGAACGAGAGCCACAGCGUGCUGUCUG
rnacentral:lncRNA from 1 species